rnacentral:rRNA from 1 species
UACGGAGGGAGCUAGCGUUGUUCGGAUAUACUGGGCGUAAAGCGCACGUAGGCGGCGCCGUAAGUCAGGGGUGAAAUCCCGGAGCUCAACUCCGGAACUGCCCUUGAAACUGCAGUGCUAGAAUCUUGGAGAGGCGAGUGGAAUUCCGAGUGUAGAGGUGAAAUUCGUAGAUAUUCGGAAGAACACCAGUGGCGAAGGCGGGUCUCUGGACAGUUCCUGACGCUGAGGCACGAAGGCCAGGGGAGCAAACGGG